ACCUGCAGAAGGAUCAUUAGUGAAGAUUUGGGCAGGCCAUACGGACGCCAAAAAGUGUCCCUGGCCGCCUACACCCACUAUACAUCCACAAACCCGUGUGCACUGUCUUGGAGAAAGGCUUCAGAGAAGUUUUUUGUGGCCUCUCUUGGGGUCUUUCUUCGCUACAAACUCGAAUGGUUAGUAUGAACGUGGAACUUGGUUGGACCGUCACUGGCCAACAAACUAUACACAACUUUCGACAACGGAUCUCUUGGUUCUCCCAUCGAUGAAGAACGCAGCGAAACGCGAUAGGUAAUGUGAAUUGCAGAAUUCCGUGAAUCAUCGAAUCUUUGAACGCACCUUGCGCUCUAUGGCAAUCCGUAGAGCAUGCCUGUUUGAGUGCCAUGAAAUCUCCCACCCCAAGCGGUUUUUAAAUGAAACGGCUUGGCGGAUGGGGUCUGGAUGGGUGCCUCUGCCUGCGCUACCUAGCACAGGCUCGCCCGAAAUGCAUGAGCGCCUGAGACACUUUGCAUCCGCCUCUCUGUUUGGGAGGAGGCGGCCAAGCAGUGUUUUUCUCCUGGCAUGGCAUGAUACGUCAUUUGCUAUGUCGCCUAAAGGAGGAAUGUUUGGUUGUGUCUGCGUGUGCUUCGAACUUGCCUCUGUGGCACAUCCCAAUUUCACUUCUGGUCUCAAAUCAGGUAGGAUCACCCGCUGAACU
rnacentral:rRNA from 1 species